UUCCAGUAACUGAGUUCCAGAACUGCAAUAAACAAUGGAAACAUCGACUCCAGCGCUUUGUGGAUUCUCAGGGUAACUACUUUGAAGGAGACAAUGUAAAGUAGUUAUUUUAGUUUAAUAAAAACAUUUUAAAAAAUCAGUCUCAUUACUUUAUUUGCAAACCUCGUAAUAAUGUUUGAUUAUAUAAUUCAACUCUAAUUAUAAUAUAUAUAUAUAUAUAUAUACCAAAACGUUUAUUAUUCUGUUCUAAAUAUUUUAAUCUCGAUUCAGAGGGCUUAUGUGCAAUAUAAUACAAUGUUCAUUGUGAGUUUUCCUGUUGUCAGUGCUUAACUAAUAUUAUUUAAGCAGAGAUUAUUUUAUACUAUUGUUGCGGGUGACUGUUUCAAUGUUCGUGUUAUAUAUGACUUAAUUCAGAAAUUUUAAACGCAAUUUGUAUACAUUUGUAGAUAAGUAUAUUAUUUGUAUUAAAAUUAUUAAAAUUAUUCAAACUCUUUUAAUUAAAUUUGUAUUAAACAAACUAACGUGAAUGUGCCUGUAGUUGAUAGCUCCAAACUAGUGUCAAAAAGGGUCAUAGAUGGCUUGUAUUUAUACCUUGGACCCCUGGACUGAAUUUGCUUAUUACGCGCUUUUCGGGAAUAAAAUAUUGUUGCGUAGCCGGUGAACACCUCACGCAUUCGGCACUUGAUAUCCGGCUCUU